GAUGAACGCUAGCGGCAGGCUUAAUACAUGCAAGUCGUGGGGCAGCAUGAGUAGCAAUACUUGAUGGCGACCGGCAAACGGGUGAGGAACACGUACACAACCUUCCUUCAAGCGGGGAAUAGCCCAGAGAAAUUUGGAUUAAUACCCCAUAAUAUAUUUGAUAAGGCAUCUUAUUAAUAUUAAAGCUUUCGGCACUUGAUGAUGGGUGUGCGGCUGAUUAGAUAGUUGGCGGGUAACGGCCCACCAAGUCUACGAUCAGUAGCUGAUGUGAGAGCAUGAUCAGCCACACGGGCACUGAGACACGGGCCCGACUCCUACGGGAGGCAGCAGUAAGGAAUAUUGGACAAUGGA
rnacentral:rRNA from 1 species